GGGAGGUCUGAAAGCUGCUGGUUUUUCAUACUUUGACAUAUGUGAGUUCAAUUCUUACCCUUUUCUUUGAGAUUUUUAUGUUUUUGUGACUUUUACAAUUAGGUCCAACUGUUUAAUUCAUUAGUGAACAAAAUUAAAAGCUAUCAUUGAUAAGUGUUAGCUGUUUAUGAUGAAAUAAAAUGAAUUUGAAGCUUUGAUUUUGUUGUUUGAUGAUUUUAUCAAGUAAUUUCAAUAGAAAUUGAUUUUAGGACCUAAUUGUGAAAAAGUUGUGAAUUAAGGUUUAGUGUUAAAAUUCUGAUUUUCAAAGAUUGUGUAAUAGUUUAGAAUGAUGGAAUAAAAUGUUAACUGAGAAAAAUUAGCUUAAUAGAUGGGCUAAUUGAGCAAGGACUGAAUUGUAUGACCUUUGAAAUUUAGAGGAAAAAUGGUAAUAAACAUCUUGAACUAAAACAAUAUUGGACAGCAGAAGUAGACUAAAUUUGAAAAAUCACCAUAAAUUUUAUAAAUCGAAUUAGAAGAUGAAUAAAAUAUGAAAUUAAAGCUUAUUGAGUCUAGUUUUUCAUAGAAGAAACGGUGUAAGCAAUGGAUUUGUAAAUUAUUAGAUAUAAUGAAUUUUAUGAGACAAGGUUAGAAUGAAUUCGGGUUCCCCUGUUUUGACUUUGGAAAAUCACCAAAAAUUGGAUAAAAUUAAUUAGAGUCUCAAAUUUAUAUGCUUAGAAUCCUUAAUGAGUCUAUUUUCAAUAGAAAUCAAUGAUAAUAUUAUCCGAGUUUUUUACUGUGAUAUAAUUAAUUUUUAGUGAAGAGAGGUCAGAACUGUUGGAUAGUGAAACAGGGGAAACUUAAAUGAAUAAACUGUACUAAUUGGCUAAACAAAAAAUACUUAAAAUUUUAUGGUGGAAUUAUAUGUGAGUCUAGUUUUAGGGAAAAUUUACGGAUCU
rnacentral:lncRNA from 1 species